AGUUUAUGAAGACUUAGGUCCUUUAACUUUUGUUUUUGGAUAAAUUUUGGAUUUAUU
rnacentral:tRNA from 1 species